UACGUAGGUGGCGAGCGUUGUCCGGAUUUACUGGGCGUAAAGGGAGCGUAGGCGGACUUUUAAGUGAGAUGUGAAAUACCCGGGCUCAACUUGGGUGCUGCAUUUCAAACUGGAAGUCUAGAGUGCAGGAGAGGAGAAUGGAAUUCCUAGUGUAGCGGUGAAAUGCGUAGAGAUUAGGAAGAACACCGGUGGCGAAGGCGAUUCUCUGGACUGUAACUGACGCUGAGGCUCGAAAGCGUGGGGAGCAAACAGGAUUAGAUACCCUGGUA
rnacentral:rRNA from 1 species